rnacentral:rRNA from 1 species
UACGUAGGGUGCGAGCGUUGUCCGGAAUUAUUGGGCGUAAAGAGCUCGUAGGCGGUCUGUCGCGUCGGUCGUGAAAACCCGCAGCUUAACUGUGGGCGUGCGGUCGAUACGGGCAUGACUGGAGUUCGGCAGGGGAGACUGGAAUUCCUGGUGUAGCGGUGAAAUGCGCAGAUAUCAGGAGGAACACCGGUGGCGAAGGCGGGUCUCUGGGCCGAUACUGACGCUGAGGAGCGAAAGCGUGGGGAGCGAACAGG